rnacentral:lncRNA from 1 species
GUCACAGCAACAGGGUGUGAACCACUGGUCUAGUGGAAAAGACCCCAAAGAAAAGCAGCCAGUUUGUCUUUUGAUUGAACAUCUUGGCAGGCUCAUCCUUGCCAGAGGCUAGAGAUGUCAAAGGUAUUCUGUAGGCUCUGAUCUGGCUUUUAAGCAACUCUAAGGUUACCCUUAAAGAGGGAAUGUAUUAUGGUAAUGAGUAUCAGUGAAAGUGUGCUGAGAGAAAAAGUCCUGCUCAAUAGAAUACAAUCUCUCAUCUCGUAGUCACUUAACAUUCCAGUUCGGUUAGGUUAACUAUCUGGCUAAGGGACAUCCCUCAAUCUCUCAGGAAGGCAGGAUCACGUUAAGGCAAGCUGAAGAGAGAACUAGAUUAAUUCAUUCUUUGAGUUAGGGGCUUGCCAAGAGACUCAUUGAAACCACUGUCACCGAAGAAUCUUGUCACUUACUGUUACUCGAGACUUCAGGAAGUCAGCAUGUGCUAGCUGAGUUUGAAGGGACGUGAGGAAAAGACAAGCCUUGCCAUCCUGGCCUGGCCUGCCUGCCAUCCUCCUGGCCUGUCACCCUCAGACAUGGAUGCAGUUCAAAUCCCAAGUGAUUUCAAUGGAGGUUAGAGGAUUCUUCAGCUAAGCCUGCAGCAGAGUCCCACCUUUCUGGCUUGAUACCCGGGAACCUGGGAGACGGCUGAGUGGGUAAGGACACAGGAGGACCUGAGUUCAGAUAGCCCUGCAACCCCACCCGAUGAGUCUGGCCCCCCAGUACAGUGGAUUUUCUGGCUGAUGAGCCUCACUCUAAGACAAAAUUUAUUGGGAUUAAGGAAAUUGUAUUGAGUCCCUGGAGCACUACAGGAAGUGCUGACACCAAUCCUGGAGCACUACAGCUGGCCAGUGGAGCACCCUAGUCAGUGAUGAUGUCACCCUGUUGAGCACUCUAGGCAGUGAUGAUGUCAGUCCGUGGAGCACUCCCAGCAAUACUGACAUCUUAACAAUAUUAAAUG